rnacentral:rRNA from 1 species
CCUACGGGUGACAGCAGUGAGGAAUAUUGGUCAAUGGACGCAAGUCUGAACCAGCCAUGCCGCGUGCAGGAAGACGGCUCUAUGAAUUGUAAACUUCUUUUGUCCGAGGAUAAACGCAGAUACGCGUAUCUGUCUGAAAGUAUCUUACGAAUAAGCAUCGGCUAACUCCGUGCCAGCAGCCGCGGUAAUACGGAGGAUUCAAGCGUUAUCCGGAUUUAUUGGGUUUAAAGGGUGCGUAGGCGGUCCGUUAAGUUAGCGGUGAAAUCCCGGGGCUCAACCUCGGAAUAGCCUUUGAAACUGGCAGUCUAGAGAGGAGGAGAGGUAGGCGGAAUGCACGGUGUAGCGGUGAAAUGCUUAGAGAU